rnacentral:rRNA from 1 species
GACGAACGCUGGCGGCGUGCUUAACACAUGCAAGUCGAACGGAAAGGCCCUGCUUUUGUGGGGUGCUCGAGUGGCGAACGGGUGAGUAACACGUGAGUAACCUGCCCUUGACUGUGGGAUAACUUCAGGAAACUGGGGCUAAUACCGGAGAGGAGCGCCUGCUGCAUGGUGGGGGUUGGAAAGUUUCGGCGGUUGGGGAUGGACUCGGGGCUUAUCAGCUGGUGGGGGGGGUAGUGGCUUACCAAGGCUUUGACGGGUAGCCGGCAUGGGAGGGUGAACGGCAACAAGGGGCCUGAGAGACGGACCAGACGGCAACGGGAGGCAGCAGUGGGGAACAUGGCACAAUGGGCGGAAGCGUGAGGAAGCAAUGCUGGGUGCGGGAUGACGGUUUUCGGGUGGUAAACCGCUGUCGCCUGUGACGAAGCGUGAGUGACGGUAAUGGGUAAAGAAGCACCGGCUAACUACGUG